rnacentral:rRNA from 1 species
UACAGAGGGUGCGAGCGUUGUCCGGAAUUAUUGGGCGUAAAGAGCUCGUAGGCGGUCUGUCGCGUCGAAUGUGAAAACCCGGGGCUCAACCCCGGGCCUGCAUUCGAUACGGGCAGACUAGAGUUCGGUAGGGGAGUCUGGAAUUCCUGGUGUAGCGGUGAAAUGCGCAGAUAUCAGGAGGAACACCGGUGGCGAAGGCGGGACUCUGGGCCGAUACUGACGCUGAGGAGCGAAAGCGUGGGGGAGCAAACAGG